rnacentral:rRNA from 1 species
AUGGACGCCGCCGACGCCGCCUCCCCGUGUGAUGGCCACAGGACGGUGUGGUCGGAGCCGCCGAAGCGGCCGGCCGGCCGGACCAAGUUCAAGGAGACGCGCCACCCGCUGUACCGCGGCGUGCGGCGACGGGGCCCCGCCGGCCGGUGGGUGUGCGAGGUGCGCGUGCUCGGGAUGAGGGGCUCCAGGCUCUGGCUCGGCACCUUCACCACCGCUGAGAUGGCAGCGCGCGCGCACGACGCCGCCGUUCUCGCGCUCUCUGGGCGCGCCGCUUGUCUCAACUUCGCCGACUCCGCCUGGCGGAUGCUCCCCGUCCUCGCCGGCCCGUUCAGCACCGCCAAGGAGAUCAAGGACGCCGUCGCCGUCGCCGUCCUGGCGUUCCAAAGGCAGCACCGGGUCGCGUCCAUGGCACCAUUGUCCCCUGCGCGGACAACCGAUGACGAGAAGGAAAUCGAUGGCUCGCCGGCGCCGAGCGCCCUGUUCAUGUCCAGCGAGCUGUUGAAUGAGCACUGGUUUGGCGGCAUGGAUGCCGGAUCGUUCUACUCGGAGGGCCUGUUCAUGGAGUCGCCGGACACCAGACCGUGGCGGGAAGACCUCGAGCUCUGUGGCGUCGAGACACCGCCAUGGAGCUACUUGUUCGACUAA